rfam:TPA: Bos taurus chromosome 16, whole genome shotgun sequence.
UCCUUGGUGACUCAGAUGGUAAAGAAUCUGCUUGCAAUGCAGGAGAGCCCAGGUUCGAUCCCUGGGUUGGGAA